AACGAACGCUGGCGGCAUGCCUAACACAUGCAAGUCGAACGCCUGUAGCAAUACAGGAGUGGCGCACGGGUGAGUAACGCGUGGGAACCUGCCUAGUGGUAAGGAAUAACCGCGGGAAACUGCGGCUAAUACCUUAUGAGCCCUACGGGGGAAAGAUUUAUCGCCAUUAGAGGGGCCCGCGUCCGAUUAGCUAGUUGGGUGAGGUAACGGCUCACCAAGGCUCCGAUCGGUAACUGGUCUGAGAGAUGAUCAGCCACACUGGGACUGAGACACGGCCCCAGACUCCUACGGGAGGCAGCAGUGGGGAAUAUUGGACAAUGGGCGAAAGCC
rnacentral:rRNA from 1 species